GAUGAACGCUAGCGGCAGGCUUAAUACAUGCAAGUCGAGGGGCAGCGGGAGUAGCAAUACUUGCCGGCGACCGGCGCACGGGUGCGUAACACGUAUGUAAUCUGCCCAUCACAGGAGGAUAGCCCGGAGAAAUUCGGAUUAAUACUCCAUAAUAGAAGAUAAAAGCAUUUUUAUUUUCUUGAAAGUUCCGACGGUGAUGGAUGAACAUGCGACUGAUUAGUUUGUUGGUGAGGUAACGGCUCACCAAGACUACGAUCAGUAGGGGUACUGAGACGGUUAAACCCCCANACUGGUACUGAGACACGGACCAGACUCCUACGGGAGCAGCAGUAAGGAAUAUUGGACAAUGGCCGCAAGGCUGAUCCAGCCAUGCCGCGUGCAGGAAGACGGACCUAUGGUUUGUAAACUGCUUUUGAACGGGAGAACGACCCCCCUACGUGUAGGGGGCUGAUAGUACUGUUAGAAUAAGCAUCGGCUAACUUCGUGCCAGCAGCCGCGGUAAAG
rnacentral:rRNA from 1 species